AGGUCAUGCUGCUCCUCCAAUCUGCUGCUGAAAUGCUCUCAGGAUUAGGAAUGCCUUGCUGGAGAGUGUGGAGGCCAGACUAAAGCUUGCCAUGUCCUGCCUUAAGACACUGGGUGCAGUGAGCAACUAGAUCGGCAGAGGUACAACACACCACGAAGAUAUUUAAGGCAAUACUUGGGUAUGGGCUGUUGAAGGAAAAACAUUUCUCAAGUGGGGAGAGGAAGCGGUGGAUUUCAUGAAGAGUGAUUCAGUGACAAUCGAAGGGAGUGAAGAAUGGGAGAACAAAAUGCAAUGAUCGUGUUUACAGUCCUUGGAGGGCACACCCCACGCUUCACCUAGGGGAUGGCGAAUAUCUCAGCACGGUGAUCCAACUGACCUGUGUAAUUUAGUACAUUCAGCAGCAGCUACUAAUCACCUGCUUUUUACCUACCACCCACAGCAUCAUAUUGGCAGUCUAGGUGAGUGAGCCUUUCUAUGGACUCAUUUAGUCAUUCUGUCAUACGGCCUUUGAUGUGACUAUUAAACCUUAGAGACUGGCUACUUUUUGGAGAAACUGGAAGGAGAAAACACUCAUGCAAGCCUGUCAAAGGGCAGGGACUAUCUAUCUCUUACCGAUUUGUACAUUCCAAGAGCUUAGUACAGUGUAAGCGCUCAAUAAAUACUAUUGAAUGAAUGAAU